GACGAACGCUGGCGGCGUGCUUAACACAUGCAAGUCGAACGGGCCUGUCUUCUUUUUUGGGGGGUGGGUUGAGUGGCGAACGGGUGAGUAUCACGUGAGUAACCUGCCCUUCGGUCCUGGAUAACCGCUUGAAAGGGCGGCUAAUACGGGGUGGUCCGGUUGGUCCGCAUGGGCUGGUCGGGAUAGAUUCACUGUUUUUGGUGUUUCGGCGGGGGAUGGGCUCGCGGCCUAUCAGCUUGUUGGUGGGGUGAUGGCCUACCAAGGCGGGGACGGGUGGCCGGCCUGAGAGGGUGGGCGGCCACACUGGGACUGGGAUACGGCCCAGACUCCUGCGGGAGGCAGCAGUGGGGGGUAUUGCACAAUGGGCGGAAGCCUGAUGCAGCGACGUCGCGUGAGGGAUGGAGGCCUUCGGGUUGUGAACCUCUGUUUCCGGUGGUGAAGGCCCUGUCCGUGUGGUGGGGUUGACGGUAGCCGGGGAUGAAGCGCCGGCUAACUACGUG
rnacentral:rRNA from 1 species